rnacentral:rRNA from 1 species
AACGAACGCUGGCGGCGUGCCUAACACAUGCAAGUCGAACGGAAUUAGAGAGCUUGCUCUUUAAUUUAGUGGCGCACGGGUGAGUAACGCGUAGAUAAUCUGCCUGACGAUCUGGGAUAACACUUCGAAAGAGGUGCUAAUACCGGAUAAGCCCACGGGUUCUUUGGAAUCUGCGGGAAAAGGGGGGGACCUUCGGGCCUUCUGUCGUCAGAUGAGUCUGCGUACCAUUAGCUAGUUGGUAGGGUAAAGGCCUACCAAGGCGACGAUGGUUAGCUGGUCUGAGAGGAUGAUCAGCCACACUGGUACUGAGACACGGUCCAGACUCCUACGGGAGGCAGCAGUGGGGAAUUUUGCGCAAUGGGCGAAAGCCUGACGCAGCAACGCCGCGUGAGUGAUGAAGGCUUUCGGGUCGUAAAGCUCUGUCAAUGGGAAAGAAGUGUAUUUGGGCUAAUAUCCUUAAUACUUGACGGUACCCAUAAAGGAAGCACCGACUAACUCCGUGCCAGCCGCCGCAGUAAUAC